AGAGACAGCAGCCGCCGCGGGAAUACGUAGGGUGCAAGCGUUAAUCGGAAUUACUGGGCGUAAAGCGUGCGCAGGCGGUUAUAUAAGACAGAUGUGAAAUCCCCGGGCUCAACCUGGGAACUGCAUUUGUGACUGUAUAGCUAGAGUACGGCAGAGGGGGAUGGAAUUCCGCGUGUAGCAGUGAAAUGCGUAGAUAUGCGGAGGAACACCGAUGGCGAAGGCAAUCCCCUGGGCCUGUACUGACGCUCAUGCACGAAAGCGUGGGGAGCAAACAGGAUUAGAUACCCCUGUAGUCCCUGUCUCUUAUAC
rnacentral:rRNA from 1 species